rnacentral:tmRNA from 1 species
GGGGCUGAUUCUGGAUUCGACGGGAUUUACGAAACCCAAGGUGCAUGCCGAGGGGCGGUUGGCCUCGUAAAAAGCCGCAAAAAAUAGUCGCAAACGACGAAAACUACGCUUUAGCAGCUUAAUAACCUGCUUAGAGCCCUCUCUCCCUAGCCUCCGCUCUUAGGACGGGGAUCAAGAGAGGUCAAACCCAAAAGAGAUCGCGUGGAAGCCCUGCCUGGGGUUGAAGCGUUAAAACUUAAUCAGGCUAGUUUGUUAGUGGCGUGUCCGUCCGCAGCUGGCAAGCGAAUGUAAAGACUGACUAAGCAUGUAGUACCGAGGAUGUAGGAAUUUCGGACGCGGGUUCAACUCCCGCCAGCUCCACCA